rnacentral:rRNA from 1 species
UACAGAGGGGGCAAGCGUUGUUCGGAAUUACUGGGCGUAAAGGGCGCGUAGGCGGCCCGCUAAGUCGAACGUGAAAUCCCCAGGCUCAACCUGGGAACUGCGUCCGAUACUGGCAGGCUUGAAUCCGGGAGAGGGAUGUGGAAUUCCAGGUGUAGCGGUGAAAUGCGUAGAUAUCAGGAGGAAUACCGAUGGCGAAGGCAGGUCUCUGGGCCAAUACUGACGCUCAUGCACGAAAGCGUGGGGAGCAAACAGG